GAAAACUGUAAAAUGCAAUUUAAAAAUCUUUGGUACAAAUUAUAAUAUAAAAGGCCACAAAAUAUUUACACAAGGAUUAAAUAUGCUGUAAGAUUCAUUUCAACCGAAUAAAGAAUUUUCUUAUAUAGUUCUGUGUUUAAAAUGUAAGCAUAAGACCUUCAAUAGUUAAAAUAAAGUGCCUUAGCAAUUGGGCAUGUUAAAACACCUUUAAAUUUACAACUGUCGAUAAAGGUGUAAAUAGAUGUAAAAAUAACUUGUAUGUAAAUUUUUAAAAAUUCUGUAUAAAUUCAGCAUAUUCUUCAAUAAUCAGAUCUUUAAUUCUUAAAGAUUAUCAUGAUGACUUUAAAUAUAAAUAAACAUAUAACUUUGUUACAUAGCACACUUAAUAACAUAAA
rnacentral:lncRNA from 1 species